rnacentral:tRNA from 1 species
GCCUUGCUAGCUCAGUCGGCAGAGCGUCAGACUCUUAAUCUGAAUGUCGCGGGUUCGAACCCCGCGUAGGGCU